rnacentral:rRNA from 1 species
UAAGAGGUCCAGCCUGCCCAGUGACAACAAGUUCAACGGCCGCGGUACUCUGACCGUGCGAAGGUAGCAUAAUCACUUGUUCUUUAAUUGAGGACUAGUAUCAACGGCAUCACGAAGAUUUUACUGUCUCCUUUUUCUAAUCAGUGAAACUGAUCUCCCCGUGAAGAAGCGGGGAUAGCCCUAUAAGACGAGAAGACCCCAUGGAGCUUUAAACCCAAUGACACCCCAAUCCUCCCCUUCUCCCCUUAGAAUUCAUAAGCCCUGUCAAUUGGUUUUAGGUUGGGGUGACCGCGGAGUAUAAUCUACCCUCCACAACGCACGGACCUUCCUCCUUAUCUUAGAGCCACAUCUCAAAGAAUCAAUAAAUUGACGUAAUAUGAUCCAAUAAUUUUGAUUAAUGAACCAAGUUACCCUGGGGAUAACAGCGCAAUCCAUUUUUAGAGCCCUUAUCAACAAAUGGGUUUACGACCUCGAUGUUGGAUCAGGGUAUCCCAGUGGUGCAGCCGCUACUGAUGGUUUGUUUGUUCAACAAUUAAA